UACGUAGGGUCCGAGCGUUGUCCGGAAUUACUGGGCGUAAAGCGUGCGCAGGCGGUUUUGUAAGCCAGAUGUGAAAUCCCCGGGCUUAACCUGGGAAUUGCAUUUGUGACUGCACGGCUAGAGUGUGUCAGAGGGGGGUAGAAUUCCACGUGUAGCAGUGAAAUGCGUAGAUAUGUGGAGGAAUACCGAUGGCGAAGGCAGCCCCCUGGGAUAACACUGACGCUCAUGCACGAAAGCGUGGGGAGCAAACAGG
rnacentral:rRNA from 1 species